rnacentral:misc_RNA from 1 species
UGUGGUCGGCUCCUCUCAAAUGAAUCAGCUUGCCAGUGUUUGGUGGCAUCGCAGGUGUGAUAACUAUCUACGCUUGUGGUGUUCUGCCAGGCAACCUUCAGUGAUGGAGGUUCGCUGGAGCUCAUAAAUGUCUCUCCUCAGCGAGGACAGCCUUUUGAAUGUUUGAUCUCAAAUCAGGUAGGACUACCCGCUGAACUUAA